rnacentral:rRNA from 1 species
CAGUAGCCGCGGUAACACGAAGGGUGCAAGCGUUACUCGGAAUUACUGGGCGUAAAGCGUGCGUAUGUGGUGGUUUAAGUCCGUUGUGAAAGCCCUGGGCUCAACCUGGGAAUUGCAGUGGAUACUGGGUCACUAGAGUGUGGUAGAGGAUAGUGGAAUUUCCGGUGUAGCAGUGAAAUGCGUAGAGAUCGGAAGGAACAUCUGUGGCGAAGGCGACUAUCUGGGCCAACACUGACACUGAGGCACGAAAGCGUGGGGAGCAAACAGGAUUAGAUACCCCAGUAGUCCCUGUCUCUUAUAA